rnacentral:rRNA from 1 species
AUUGAACGCUGGCGGAAUGCUUUACACAUGCAAGUCGAACGGUAGAGGGGGCAACCCCUCGAGAGUGGCGAACGGGUGAGUAAUAUAUCGGAACGUGCCCAGUCGUGGGGGAUAACGUAGCGAAAGUUACGCUAAUACCGCAUACGAUCUAAGGAUGAAAGCGGGGGAUCGCAAGACCUCGCGCGAUUGGAGCGGCCGAUAUCAGAUUAGGUAGUUGGUGGGGUAAAGGCUCACCAAGCCAACGAUCUGUAGCUGAUCUGAGAGGACGACCAGCCACACUGGAACUGAGACACGGUCCAGACUCCUACGGGAGGCAGCAGUGGGGAAUUUUGGACAAUGGACGCAAGUCUGAUCCAGCCAUUCCGCGUGCAGGAUGAAGGCCCUCGGGUUGUAAACUGCUUUUGUACGGAACGAAAAGGUCUCUCUUAAUACGGGGGACUCAUGACGGUACCGUAAGAAUAAGCACCGGCUAACUACGUGCCAGCAGCCGCAGUAA